rnacentral:rRNA from 1 species
UACGUAGGGCGCAAGCGUUGUCCGGAAUUAUUGGGCGUAAAGAGCUCGUAGGCGGUUUGUCGCGUCUGUCGUGAAAGCUUGGGGCUUAACCCCAAGUCUGCGGUGGAUACGGGCAGACUAGAGGCAGGUAGGGGAGAACGGAAUUCCCGGUGUAGCGGUGAAAUGCGCAGAUAUCGGGAGGAACACCGGUGGCGAAGGCGGUUCUCUGGGCCUGUACUGACGCUGAGACGCGAAAGCGCGGGGAGCGAACGGG